GGAGUUGACAGACAUAAUCAUUAAGAUAGGAAGGAGGAUUAUGUUAUCUGGUAGACUUUCUGGGAACAGGAACAGAGGGAGAAGGAAUUAAAACUGGAGGUGAACCAGCAGGACUAAGAGGAGCAGAAAAGGGCACUUGCACAGGUGUGGCAGAAGAGGGAGGAGAGAGUGGAAUAGGAGAAUCAGAGACAUCAUCAUGUUCUCCAGAGGGAAUGAAAGGAAAAGAAGAAGCAGGAGGAGGAGUAACUGAGGGAGAGGCAGAUUUAAAAGGAAAAACUGAUUCAUGAAACAGAACAUCCCUGGGACCAAAUACUUCCUAGAUGCAAGAUCAUAUAGCCUAUAGUGAUUCAUGAAAUAGAACAUCCCUGGAGACCAAAUACUUCC
rnacentral:lncRNA from 1 species